rnacentral:lncRNA from 1 species
CUUCAAGGUAAAGUCUUGAAAUUCAAAACAAGUGAGGGGCCGAGAGAGUGAGCGGACAGUAAGGGGCCCUGUGGGAGAGUGAGCUGGGAGACAGUGUGGCUGCAGAAUUGAAAUGAGCCUCAAAUGCCAGAAGCAGGAGUUGGGUGUGCCCUGCCAGACAAACCACAAGUUGGCCCUCUGACCCAGUGUACCCUGGGCCAGCUUCCCAGGGAAGGGGCAGCCCUCCAAGGAAGAAGGCAGUGGCCACAUCCCUGCCCUUUGAGGAGAUAUUCAGUAAGUCUCAGCGAUGUCUAUGGUGUAAUGGAAAAAAGCAUGGAUUCAGUGUUCAAAUCUCAAAGUGAAAUCUCAACUGGGCCACUUACUAGCUGUGUGACCUUGGGAUAAUUACUUAAGGUCUCUGAGCUCAGUUUCCUCUUCUGUAAGAUCAGGCUCAAAAUACACCUCCCUUGUGAGAGAUGAUGCAGAUUCAGCAAGAUAACGGCCUGGGGUGAGGGGGGCGGGGAAGGUGCUCAGCUCGGUUGGUUUCCCUUUCUUUCCUCUGAGGUCAAGAUGGAACGAUAAAGCGGGCCGGAUGGGGCCAUCUCUCAGCCUAAAGGAAAGCACUUCAGCAGCUCUGCAGAGGCUUCUGGAAGGGAGAAGUUGGCAUCUUCCCUCCUCUGACUGAAUCAGCUGGCAAAAUGGGAAAGGAUUGUGGGGAUUUGAGGAAAAUACUCUAAUGCCUGUCCCAGUUUUGUCACCAGCCUAUCUUCCUUUACUCCAAACACAUUUGACUUUUUCCCCUGGGUUUGCUGUGGCCUAGAGAGUGAACUUUGGAGUCAAAUAGACUUGCAUUUGAAUCCUGGCUCCACCUCUUCACAGCGCAGUGAAACACAUUUUUUAACUUCCCUGAACCCCAGGCACAGAGGACAAAUUGAUCAAGGGCCCUGCCCCAUAGAGCCAUCUUUUAGUGGAAGAGUAGUUAGCUUGCAACCUCACCCUUCGUUCACUCCCUCAUUCGCGCGCUCACAAAAACUGACUGAACACCUAUUAAGUGAAGGCACCAUUCAGGACGCUGGAGAUGAAGAUGUGAGCAAGACCGCCACAGUUCUUGCCCAAUAGGGUAAAUAAAUAAGCAGGGCAAUUAGACACUGGGAUAUGAAGGCAACGAACGUUUGUUGGAGGAGAGAGGACUGGGGGACACCAGCACCCAGGGCUCAGUGUCUUCAGGGUCAGCCAGAAGGCCAAGGUGACAAGACCAGCAAGUGGGCGAGAAUGGUAUGAGAGGACAAGGCCAGAUCCUGUGGGGCAUUGUGGGCAGGGAUUUUAUUACAUGAGUUCAGACUGUAUUGUAUGAGCAAGGGGGAGCCGUGGGAGGAUUUUAAACAGGGGGGGUGACAUGAUUGAGGGAAGGUCAAGAGACCGCUGAGGAGGCUUUGCUUUGUCUGGCCAGUCAUGAUGGGCAUGGGCCCUGGUGGACAGAGGAGAGCCAUGUGACAGCUCUCGGUGAGGGGCUGUUUGUGGGGAGUGAGGCCACUGGAGAAGGCAGGCCUGAUCCUCAGGUGCGGCUGGAGCAGCUGGGAAACAGUGAUGCUCUUUGCUGAGGUAGGGAGGACCUGGGAGAGGGACAGGGGGUAACGCUCAAGAGCUGGACUUUGGACAACCUGAGUUUAAGGUCCCUGUGAGACGUGGAGACAGCAAGUCAGUGUUUGGAGCCACAUUUUACAGACAAGCCCAAUGAGGCUCCAACAUCAAGAACUUUUCCAGAGUCCACCCCCAGGACUGAGAUUGAGGUCUGAGGACCUCCAAAGCCUGGAGCACCACACAGCCUCUCCCCUCAACAGAUUUCGCGGUAGGAAAUUAUCAGAAAGGGGGCCUUGGGUUUCAGGAUUGGGGAGUAAAUUUAGGAGGAGCCCCCUCUCGGCCAGGUAGGCUCAAGCACUAGGUUUCCCAGGCUGGGCUACUUGUCCCCAGUAUGGUGAGCCCACCCUGGAGGAAUGGAGAAAAGAGGAGAGAGGGGAGACCCCUGGAUAUGGGGAAUGGAGCUCAGACUUCUGGCUGCAUUUUGAUGAUACAGGCCAACUGGGCGAGCUCGAUGCAAAGUGGAGUUGGUCAGUGGUAGCCAGAAGUCCAGAGCUUAAGCACCUUUAUGGGUCCUCUGGGGAGAGGAGGGGCUCUCUCCCUCUACCCUGCCUUCUCCCCUCCCCCAGCCCCUUUGCUCUGAGAUCACAGUUUAGAGAAGCUGGUGUGAAAUAGUUUGAAACUCAGAUCUUCUGGGCGGUCCCCCAGGGCAGAAAACAGGAAGCCAAGAUUAAAGGCAGAUUUCCAGCAAAGUCCCCUUCUACUUCCGGCAGAGCAGGUGCUCAGGCUGAGCUCACUGUGAGCAGCUUCCUCUGCUGACAGCACCUCUGGGUGCCCCAUGCCAGCCUUCCUCCUUUGGGAGCUGUUCUUUGACCUUGUCAUCACCAUCCCCACCAGGGAGCUCCUGCCAGGGCCUUGGGGAAUGAGCCUCCUCCAGAAAGAGGCCAUGGAAGGUGGAAGGAGCGGUCACUGGGAAAGAGGCCUAGUGGUGGCACUGACAGGAAACAGCACCUGGGGAAACCUGGUGCAGUGAGACCAAGCGGAAAGGAUAAGGAAUCUGAAGAGGGCUUCCAGUGAAGGAACUCAGUUGCCAGAUCCUGGGUCAGGGAAAAAGGACCCGCGAUGCCAUCACAUCAUUCUCACAGAAUUUUUUUUACAGGCUCACCACUGCUCAGCUAUGUGACCUUAAGUAAAAGUCACUUAACCUUUUGAAGCCUCAAUUUCCUCAUCUCUAAAAUGGGGAUGAGAGGCCCACCUCACAAGGUACUCCCUGUGCUAAACUGAGAUGAUGUAAAUUUCCUCAUUAGCACAGUGCUUUGGUGCAGGGCACUCUUGCUCACUGGCAGUGAGAUGAAUAUUUUUCUCUGACUCUGGAAACAGGCUGUGUAGUGCCGGGCCUCGCCUGCUGUCCUCCCAGUGUUUAGUCUGCUCCCUGAGGCUUUGUCUGUUCCUGAGCCUACAGUUUCACAGAGGCUGAUGAACUGAAGCUCUUCUUCGUCCAUUCACCAGAUAUCGAGGGUGUGUUUCCUGGACUACUUUCCAGGCCCCAGGGCCCCUGAGAGGGGACAGGGCCAGAGCUUCUUUGGUUCUCACCUGGAGUCCUGGGCUCACAAAAUGUCUUACAGGUUGGCGCUUCCCCCUCAGUGCUGCCCAGAGACCCUCGCCUGCCAGGUGUCAUCUUUAAGCCAGACCACCCCCACCCAGAAGUCUCCAGGUUCUGCUUUGUGGAUUGGAGGCCCCAGUUGGUGCUGUUCUGGCUUCUGCAUGGGAACGGUUUGGGGGGACGCAAGAAAAGGGGUCCUGGGGUUCUCCAAGGUGCAAAGGAUGGAAACUUGGCCCGGGGCAGGCAAGGAGAGGGCGCAGGGGGUUGGCCUGGCUUAGGCUGCAAAGGGAGAGCAGCUGGGUGCUGGUGAGCUGCCUCAGGCCAAGCUUUUGUAAAUCACAUGCAAAUCCUCUGGCCCAGGUAUCCGUACCUGUGACUGGUAAGUGUCAACACCUGUCCCUGUGGGACAUCAGGGGAGAUUUCCAAAGACCCCUCCCUUGGUUGGGAGUGGGGCGGAGCUGGGUAGGUACAGGACCUUCCCUACACAGGAGGAGUUUCUGGAAGCCACCUGGGAGUUAGGGAUGGAGCCUAGAGGGCCCUUCCUCAGUGGGCUCCAGGGGACCAGGAGGGAAGUGGCCCUGGCCCCCCCCCCCCCCCCGCCGUUUUGGUUGUUAGACCCCUCAGAGUUUAGUUCCAGAGAGUAGGUAUCUGGGCAGGGCGAGCUCUCUGAGGACAGGGACUAGCUCCUUUUCUUUGUCUCUCCACAGGGUGGCACAGAGCCUGUAACUGUAAAGCCAUGUUGAUUGAAUAAGUGAGUGACUGAAUUCUCCUUGGGGUCUCCAGCCACAGGUCUCAGGGCUCCCAUUCCAAGGAGAAGGUCUUUACCUGCCUCCCUGUUUUCUCCCCCCCCAGCCCAUCUUCUUAGACCUCUCUCCUUAACCUCUGGGUCUCCAGGGGCGCUAUCCUGACAUAGAGAUAGGCCCCUGGAGGUCUAGGUCACCUCUCCCUCCAGGCAGAGCCAGUUCUGGUUGGAGAGGUGGCCCUCCUAUCCCCUGAAGUCUCCCCUCCCACUCCUGGGGCCGUGAAACUCCAGUUCCUCAGCCAGCCCUCACCCCAGCUGUGAGCAGGGCAGCCUCAGAGAGAAGGCCAGCCUGCGUCUGGGAACCUGAGUCCUAGGUGUUCGAUUCGACAGGGACCUGGCAUUGGUUGAAUGAGCAAAGGAUUGAAGAUAGGGUGACAGGACCAAAGGCUGGGAGGAGCGGGUUGCUUCCCUGAGCUUGGGGUGCAGAGGGAACAAGAAGCUUCAAGUUGGCUAGGGCGAGGGUGCGUGAUGGAGGAAAGCAGUACCACAAACACCAGGGACCCUUGGAGACGGUUUUCAGUGGCAGCUGGGAGCUGAGAGGCCAGGGACAGCACCCUGUUCAAACUGCACCCGAGCCUGAUCUUAGCUGUCUCCUUGCUGCUUUCUUCCUUGGGUGACUGUCUUUCCUGCCACUUUUGUGAGCAGUACGUUUAUUUUUCGCUUAUGUUAACCAGAGGUCGGUUUCUGUUGUUUGAGUCUUAGAACCCUGCCCGGUGCCCCUGACCCCACCCUCAUCAUGGCAGAGGGAGGAUGAGGUCACCACCACUCUGGUCUCCUGGGUGCCUGGACUGGCCUCGGUGUUGCUGACAUCUCUGGGAUUCUCCUAAAUAACAAGAGCAGGACAAGGACAAGAAGGAAGGCACGCUUUGUUGAACACCUACCGUGUGCUGGCUGUUUGUACAUUUGAUCUCAUUUGGUCUUUAUCCUUCAAGGAAAACAGUAGCAUCUAGAUCUUGUCUGUAUGGCAAGGGAGGCCCACAGAACAUGAUUCGAGGGACCGCCCAAAGCCUGGGCUCUCAGACAGCAGUUCCAGAGGUCCCAGGCCCCAGGUCCUAGGUUUGUUGGCAGUGAGCUGGGGAAGAUGUUGACAUCCUGCCUGCCAGUCCUCCACUGAGGCACAGAGGAGCUGCUGGUGCGGGGCAGGAGAGUCUGUGUAGAAUGGUCCUGGAACCCAAGGUGGGAGGCAGAGCUGGGGCACUGGCAGAGGCAGGGCUGGGAAGCAAAGGUGUAGGGGGCAGACAGGGGUCACAUUUCCAGCUUCACAGUCCAUCCUGAACCUUCUCAGCAGGCCUGGCUUGGGCCCAGGUGUCCUGCAUUGGUGCAAGGAAUUCUGCAUGAGCUCCAAGAGCCACCAGCCAGGCUGAGGUCAAGUCUGACUCUGCAAAUGACUAGCAGUGUCAUCCUGGGUGAGUAACCUCCCCCUCUGCACCCCUGUCCCCAUCUGCCUGGUGGGCAUGAGCACACUGGCCUCACAGAGUGUCAUGAGCACUAAGUGGGGCAAAACUCCAGCAGAGAGCAAGUGCUCAGGGAACGCAGGCCGAUUCUCAGGCAGAAUCAAGGGGGCAGUUGGACUCCAGACAUCUCCAAGAUCCUAGGAUUUAAUUCCUUUGACUACAAGACCCCUGAGAAGAGGUAGGUGGGGGUGCAGGUCCUUGUAGAACUGGCCGCUCCCAUCUCUGUGCCUGUCGGUGUACCUGUAACCCUCAUUUACCCACCUGUUGCUCCAGGCAAGUGAGCGGUGUGAGUCCCAGGAGGUCAGGAAGGGUCUACACCACCAGUGUUCCCCGUACCCCCAGCACAGGAAGAUGAUGAGUCAGCCUUGAGGGUAGUGAGUUCCCUGUCCCUGGAAUUAAGAGAAUAGAAGUUAAACUCUUGGCAGGGAGUUGGACAAAGAAUUUCUACUUCGGGUAAGUCUAUAAUGGCCAGACCAGGGAAUGAUGGAGGGAGUGUCCUCUGGUCAUUCUUAGUGGUUUCCCCAGAAUUUCUGAGUAGGAAGAAUUUGAGACUUGUCUUGAAGCUGCAUUUGCAAAAUAAACCUGCUUUUCCUUAGAUUUUCUAUGUGGAAUGGGAAUCCCAGGGCUGCCGGUGACCGUCGGUGGCUGCGGGAAGCAUGUGCUUCUCGAUCGGCCACGAGGGGGCGCCCGAGACUGCAUUCUAGCAAUCCAGCUCCAAAGAGGGUCUGGGCAGAUCCUGGCCUGAGGUCUGAGAACAUGUCUGGGGACAGGAAGAGGGACUCAGAAUUGGAUAGCUGAGUGUGUGGGGCAGGGAGGAAGGGCCAUUCUGCUCCCCACAGAUCACAGGCCUGACAUUUUUUGGUGGCGGGUGGUGGGCACAAGGUGGAAAGUUUCCUUUAAACAAUGAGUCCAGUUAUUGGAAAAAGUUUGAUGAAUUUCAAGAUUACAGUUGUAGCGAAUGUCUAGGAAGACUUCUAACUUGGCAUUUAGGGACAGAUUCCCCUUCCUGUGCGACAGGGAGAAUGUGAGAGUACGGCUGCUUGGAGGAAGGGGCCUAGUGCCCAAGAGGAAAGGACUCCCACCCCCACCUUCACCCCCACAGUUUGAUGCCCAGGUGGGAAGCAGGAAGGAGGGGAGACUUCAGGCAUGGGGGGAGCUGGUAGGCUAUGCUUCCUGGAGUCUCUGUCAUCAUCCCCUGGGUGGGCAGCCCAUGGUGCUGGUUUUCCAGUGUCCUGGGCUGGCACACUCCUCCAGGGAAACAGACCUUGCAGAGCAGGGAGACGGGAAGCGGGUGCUGGUAUGUGGGAGAGCAGGCCCUUGUGGACUGUGGGAAAGUUGUGAGGUCUGCCAGUCUCUGUCAGAGUGGGGCCUGGGGCCUCUCUGGGUGAGGAGAUGGGGCUGCGGAAGUAGCUUAGGGAGAAGGCAGCCCCUUGUCAGACUCAUCAAGUGCACCUGAGGGUGCAGGGCAGCGAGGGCUAUGACCUCCUUGGGCUCCCAGUUGGGGGUGCAGGGCAGUGGCCAGUGGGUUCAGCCAGACCCCAGGAUGGCAAAAAGGAGAUCCUGCCCAGUCCCACCUACUGCCUGCCUGCCCAGCUGUGCGGGAGCCGGCAGCCCUGGGGUGGGGGCGGGGGCAGCUGGGGGGGGCCUGGCUGGGCAGCAUGAAGCCUGGGUUUUUAGCCUUGCCCAUACACCAUCUUCCUAGGUGCCUGUCUCGACCUCAGUUUCCCCAUCUGUGCCCUGAGGUUCACUUAUUCAUUGCACAUUUAUCUAGUGUUGAAUUGAGGGCAGGGUCUUUACCACCCUACACCCAUGGCUUUGAGUCUGUCCUCUGCCAUUUACUUGUUGGGCAAUUUAUGUGAUGUCUCUGGCCUCAGUUUCCUCAUCUGUAAAAAGGGGUAGUGUGCGCCCCAUAGGACUGUUGUGAGGAUUAAAUUAUUAUUAUUAUGCAAUGAGGAAGAUGGGAACUGGUUGCUGUCCUCAGGGAGCACUCAGUAUAGACAUACCGAGGACGCUGCACACUUGAGCUGGCAGAUACACCAGGACACACGGACUCGCAUUCACUGAGGUAUAUACACAAAAGAAGCAGUAUUUUAAGAGAAACACAUUUCAAAGGCUGGAGAAAAGAAGAGGAGGGUCUGGCUCUAGGCCUGAGGUGACCAUGGUAAGUUGGCAGCUCAGCUGUCUGCGGGCUGUGGGCAGUGCUCAUGGCAUGUGUGUCCCCACUCGCAUAUGCAUGCAGCCUCUGAGUGUUUCCAUUACUCAGUCCCUGAGAUGGCUGGGGGAAGGAGGCAGAGCCAAAGGAGUAACCAACUUCUUCUCCCCUUCAUCUCCACUCCUGCAAAAGGCCCCCAAAUGCACAGCCAGAAUAACACCUACUUCAUGGACUCAGAGGAUUUAAGUGGCAAUUCUGACUCAUCCAAUUUCCUGGGGAAGCUGUCUCUUCUCUCUGAGCCUCUGUCACUCCAUCUCUAAAAUGGGGUUAUUUCACGGGUGAGGCUAUGCCUUCCAUGAGAGGGGUGGUAAUUUGUCCAUGGGCUCACAGUAAGCCCUUUCCUGCCUCAGGACCUUUGCAGAUUUUGGUCCCUCUGCCCAGAGCUCUUUUUUCUCUGCUCUUGCUAUUUACUUCUACCUCCUCUGAGAAGCCUGCCUUGAUCAACUCUUCUAAAGUCCUUGUCCCUGUUUGUCUCUUUGUAGCAUCCACGUUUCUUCUUCAUAGCACUCGUUACAGUUUGUAAUUGGGUAUUUAUUUGUAUAUCUACUUUUUUAGUGUCUGUCUCUUCACUAGACCAUGAGCUCCAUGGGAGCAGGAGAUGACCAGGCUAAUCUUAUUCCCUGCUUAUCUCCACCAGCCAGCAUGGCACCUAGUACGUAGUAGAUGUUCAAUCAAUGUAACAUAAAUUCCUUUUUUGAAAUAGGAAAUCUAUACACAUGGUACAAAAUCCAAAAGUUACAAAAGGGUGAAAUCUCUCUCAAACCCAUGUCCUCUAGACAUCUAUUACCUUCUCUGGAGAAGAAACUCACUUUUUCUUAUACAUUCUUGUAGAAUAUUCUCUGCAUAUGUUAGUAUACUAUGGUAAAAAACUAGAUAUGGAGAAUCUUUCAUAUCAUGCAUAUUAUUUUAUAUGACUCUAUCAUAAUUUAUUUAGCCAUUUCCAGAUUGUUGGAAUUAAUAGAAUGCUGCAACAAAAAUCUUUGAAUAUAUUAUUGUCAUUUGUAUAAGCCUAACUGAAGGAUAAAUCUCUAGAAGUAGAAUUGCUGGGUCGAAGGAUAUGUACUUUAAAAUUUUUGACAAAUAUUGCCAAGUUCAUUUUUAGAGAUUUACUUUUUAACUAAAAUUCACUUUCACCAAUAAUAAAUAUGAGUGCCUGUUUUUUAACACCCUCACCAACAUAGUGUGUUAUCAGACAUUUCAUCUUUGCCAAUGUGAUUGGUGAAAAAUUGCAUAUCAUUUUAAGUUAUAUUUCUCUUAUUAUAAGUGAGGCCAAGCAUCUCUUUUUUAAAAAAAAAAAAGAUUUUAUUUUUCCUUUUUCUCCCAAAGUCCCCCGGUACAUAGUUGUAUAUUUUUAGUUGUGAGUCCUUCUAGCUGCGGCAUGUGGGACGCCACCUCAGCAUGACCUGAUGAGUGGUGCCACGUCCACGCCCAGGAUCCGAACUGGCGAAACCCUGGGCCUUGGAAGCAGAGUGCGCGAACCUAACCACUCAGCCACGGGGCCAGCCCCCUAAGCGUCUCUAUGUUUUAAAAUUCAUUUGUAUUUUCCUCUUCUGUUAACAGUUCAUGCUCUUUGUCCAUUUUUAAUUGGAUUGGGUUUUUUUGUAGGAACUCCUUGCAUACUGAGGAAAUUAACCUUUUCUCUGUGGGUCAUGCAGGGUUCCAGCAGGAAACAGAUGACGUGCUCCAAUCAGUUUAAUUUAAGGGAGGUUUAAUACAGGAAUGUUUACAAGAGUGUAGGCAGGGAGUAGGGGGAGUUCAGUAGGGGGAGUAGUUCAGUAGGGGGAGUUCAGUAGGG